UCAACCCAUUUAACCGUCUAACUCAUCAAAUUAAAUGAGUUCAUGGGUUGACUCAACUCAUUUGCUAAACGAGUUGAAUCAACCCAUGAACUCAUUUAUCUCUAAAUUCAUUGGGUAAUGAGU
rnacentral:pre_miRNA from 1 species